rnacentral:rRNA from 1 species
AGCACCGGCGGACGGCUCAGUAACACGUGGACAACCUGCCCUCGGGAGGGGGAUAACCCCGGGAAACUGGGGCUAAACCCCCAUAGGAGAUGGAUACUGGAAUGUUCCAUCUCCGAAAGUCCGCAAGGAGCCCGAGGAUGGGUCUGCGGCGGAUUAGGUAGUUGGUGGGGUAACGGCCUACCAAGCCUAAGAUCCGUACGGGCCAUGGGAGUGGGAGCCCGGAGAUGGACCCUGAGACAAGGGUCCAGGCCCUACGGGGCGCAGCAGGCGCGAAACCUCCGCAAUGCGGGAAACCGCGACGGGGUCAGCCGGAGUGCCGAUGCUUGCAUCGGCUGUCGGGGAGCCUAAAAAGCUCCCCAUAGCAAGGGCCGGGCAAGGCCGGUGGCAGCCGCCGCGGUAAUACCGGCGGCCCGAGUGGCGGUCACUAUUAUUGGGCUUAAAGCGUCCGUAGCCGGGUUGGGAAGUCCUCCGGGAAAUCUGGCCGCUUAACGGUCAGAAUGCCGGAGGAUACUCCCAGCCUAGGGAGCGGGAGAGGCCGAGGGUAUUCCCGGAGUAGGGGUGAAAUCCUAUAAUCCCGGGAGGACCACCUGUGGCGAAGGC